CCCCCCCCCCCCCCCCCCCCCCCCCCCCCCCCCCCCCCCCCCCCCCCCCCCCCCCCCCCCCCCCCCCCGAACUAGAGCUGAGGGACAGCGGGGACGAGCUGAGGGAGCUGGAACUAGAGCUGAGGGACAGCGGGGACGAGCCGAGGGAACUGGCCGGCUGAGGGAAGCAGGGCGGCCCUGAGGGGGAGCCUGGCCAGUGCGAGCCCUGAAGGAGCCCAGGCUUGUGUGGCUGGGCGAGCACAUAGGACGGAUUCCCUUAAAGUGAGGGAUGCAGUUGUGUGAACCUCCAUAGUCUUCCACGGCAUCUUCCAGGAGAAAUUCCGAGUACAUUCCUCACCUCUGAUUUUGUGUGAUCACAUGCCAGAGCACUCCGGGAGGUGGGGAUCAGGGCAAGGGUGCAGAGUAAGCAAGCCCAAUGACAACUAAUUUUACAAUAAUCACCAAUAUCGUGCUUCACAUUUACAGAGGGGAAGAUCAAGGCACUGACAGAUGAAGUCUAGUCCAAGAUGAAACAGAAAAGCAGUGGAAGGUUGAGCUCCUGCAAGCUGAAUUACACCUUUAUUCUUCACUUGCUUUCCUGGCAGCAGGAUCUGCAUGCAAGGCUCCUUCCUCUCCACUGCUUUUCACCUACAAGGUCUAAUUGAAGAAGAAAAUGACAACCGUGGGGUGCGAUUCGUUCCCUGGCUGAUGCCCCUCUGAGAAUGCAGUGGCACUGAGCCACUGAAAGCAGCAGCGAUGCAGUCGAUGUGACAGUGCAAGGGCAGAUGCUCUGGACGGUAGAGGAUGCUAGAGAAGAGGUAAAUUUUCCACGGCGCUUUUCCCCAUUAGCAGUCCCUGAAACCUCGCGUGGUAUCAGCUCGAGCCAGCGUUUCCCCGUGCAGGGGCUGCUUUAGGCACUUCGAGCUGUGUGUGCCUGCCCGUGUGUGCCCGCUGCUCCAGCUGCGUGCGUGCCUCUGCUUGCAAACCUGGCACCUUGAAAUGGCUCCAGAAGUUUGCAUGAUCUCCCUCUAAGAACGUCCGCGGGGUAUGAGAGGUCUGUGUUCGGGAGAUCGCGGUGUUUGAGCCGCAGGAGGCAGGGAGCCGUGCUUUCCCCCCAUCUCCUGCCUCUGCUGAGCCACCAAGUGUUUCUGCCUCGCCUAUAGUUUUUUUCCUCAUUCCCACAUGCUCGGGCGGCAACCUUGGGAUGCCGGGGUGGCAGUCUGAUUCUUUGUCCUUCUAGGCUAUUAAAUGUAUUUUAAUUGGAUCGGGCAGAGAAAAAACCCCAAAACACAUACAUAGAGCCCAAGGCGUUAGGACUAGAUCCCCCUUCCCCGAAACAACAAACAGUUAAAUAAAUAACGAGAUGCCAAACC
rnacentral:lncRNA from 1 species